GCGAAAACUCCGCAAUGUGCGAAAGCACGACGGGGGAAUCCUAAGUGCCUAUGCUUAUUGCGUAGGCUGUUCUCUUGUCUAAAAAACAAGGGGAGUAAGGGCUGGGUAAGACGGGUGCCAGCCGCCGCGGUAAUACCCGCAGCCCAAGUGGCGAUCACUUUUAUUUGGUCUAAAACGUCCGUAGCUGGUCUAGUAAAUUCUUGGGUAAAUCGAAAUGCUUAACAUUUCGAAUUCCGAGGAGACUGCUAGACUUGAGACAGAGGGGGGUCAGAAGUACUCCUGGGGUAGGGGUGAAAUCCUGUAAUCCUAGGAGGACUACCAGCGGCGAAAGCGUCUGACUAAAGCUGCUCUGACAGUGAGGGACGAAGCCCUGGGGCGCAAACGGGAUUAGAUAGAACCCUUUUCUUUGAACUGGCAAAGAAAAGGUUUCAUCCAAAAGAAACCAGUUUUGUUAAAGCUGGUUUUCUUUGAUGAACCUUUCUUUUACCAGCUAAAAGAAAGUUCCUAGAUACCCCGGUAGUCCAGGGUGUAAACGCUGCAGACUUUGUGCUGGGGAAGCUAAGAGCUUGCCCGGUGCCGGAGAGAAGUUGUUAAGUCUGCUACCUGGGGAGUACGGUCGCAAGACUGAAAUUCGUAUGAGCGCUUGUCUGCAUUUUUCGCUCUGCGAACUGUAACU
rnacentral:rRNA from 1 species